GAUAAACGCUGGCGGCGUGCAUGAGACAUGCAAGUCGAACGAAGGAUCGGGCUUGCUCGAUCCUUAGUGGCGGACGGCUGAGUAACGCGUAGGUGACCUACCCCGACGUGGGGAAUAACUGCCCGAAAGGGUGGCUAAUACCGCAUGUGGUCGCACGUUCAUUCGUGCGAGUAAAGCCGCAAGGCGCUUCGGGAGGGGCCUGCGUCCGAUUAGCACGUUGGUGGGGUAAUGGCUUACCAAGGCGACGAUCGGUAGGUGGUCUGAGAGGACGAUCACCCAGACUGGGACUGAGACACGGCCCAGACUCCUACGGGAGGCAGCAGUCGGGAAUUUUGCUCAAUGGGGGAAGCCCUGAAGCAGCAACGCCGCGUGAGGGAUGAAGGCCUUCGGGUUGUAAACCUCUUUUGUCAGGGACGAUGAUGACGGUACCUGGCGAAUAAGCCACGGCUAACUACGUG
rnacentral:rRNA from 1 species